UUAAACUUCUUAUCUCAUAAUUUUCUUGAAAACUCAAACAUCAACAUGGCUAAAAAUCCAAAAGAUACAUCUUCAACAAAGUGUUUUUCAAGCAUUUUUCAAAGGCUUAUAUGUGGUGGAAGUUUACCAACACACCCUUGUGAUCAAUUUAAAGAAGCAAACACAACAACAUAUGAGGCAAAUAGUAACAAAUUAGUUGGAGGAGCCAAUAGUAGUCCAGGAAUUGUGGCAAGGCUAAUGGGAUUAGAGUCAUUACCUAGAGAAGAAAAAAGUAAAUUUGGUUCAUUUUCAAGAAGCAAAUCAGCUAAUUCACUAGAUUACUUGAUGCAAUUUGAUCUAACUCAACAAUUUCAUCAUAGAAGAGUUAGAACAUCUCUAUCUUUUCGCGAAAUUCCGAAUCAAGAGGAGUCCAAGUCUGAGUAUUUAGUGUUUUGCAUCAAUGAUGAAAAACAAGAAAUGAUGAAGCCAAAGAAAAAGAGACAAAAUGUUGAGAAGAAACAAGUUAGUGGAAAACAAAACAGGAUUGGUAAUAAUAAAGUGAAAAAACAAGUGAUCAAGUUUGAAGAUUAUCCUACAAAAAUGUGUGUUGAAUCUAAGAAGAAUAAGAGAAAGAGCAAAUGUGUAGUGUCUACCAAGAUUCAACCUUUAUAUUAUAAUUCAACUCCAAAUGAUCAUCUUCAACAAGAUGCUACUAUCCCUUCAGAAGGGAAAAUUCAGGUAAAUUCAGAUGCAAUGAAAAGCAAAGUAGAGAAGCACAAGGAGAUUAGUAAAGAGAAAGAUCAUUACAUAAAAGUGGUUGGAGAAAUUUGUAGAUUAACAGAAGAAGAGUUAAAUGAGUCACAUUGGAUAACAUCAAUUAGAAAUGGAGAAAACAUCAACUUUGAAGAUUUAUGCCAACAAUUUGGACAACAACUUCUUCAACUAUUAAUAGAUCAACUAGUCCAUGAACUUGUAAUCUUUGCACAAUGAACAUAUUCAUGUGUGUUUCCUACUUGUUUAAUUGUUGUAUAAUAUCAUGUGAUUCCCAAUUCUACAACAAAUGUACUAGGAAUUUGGAAUCCAAAAGACUAAAG
rnacentral:misc_RNA from 1 species